AUUGAACGCUGGCGGCAGGCCUAACACAUGCAAGUCGAGCGGUAGCACAGAGAGCUUGCUCUCGGGUGACGAGCGGCGGACGGGUGAGUAAUGUCUGGGAAACUGCCUGAUGGAGGGGGAUAACUACUGGAAACGGUAGCUAAUACCGCAUAACGUCGCAAGACCAAAGUGGGGGACCUUCGGGCCUCAUGCCAUCAGAUGUGCCCAGAUGGGAUUAGCUGGUAGGUGGGGUAACGGCUCACCUAGGCGACGAUCCCUAGCUGGUCUGAGAGGAUGACCAGCCACACUGGAACUGAGACACGGUCCAGACUCCGACGGGAGGCAGCAGUGGGGAAUAUUGCACAAUGGGCGCAAGCCUGAUGCAGCCAUGCCGCGUGUGUGAAGAAGGCCUUCGGGUUGUAAAGCACUUUCAGCGGGGAGGAAGGCGGUGAGGUUAAUAACCUCAUCGAUUGACGUUACCCGCAGAAGAAGCACCGGCUAACUCCGUGCCAGCCGCCGCUGUAAUAC
rnacentral:rRNA from 1 species